AAAUCAAGCGCGAUAAGGGCGUUUGGUGGAUGCCUUGGCAGUAAGAGGCGAUGAAGGACGUGAUACUCUGCGAUAAGUCAUGGGGAGCUGAGAAUAAGCUUUGAUCCAUGAAUUUCCGAAUGGGGAAACCCACCUGAAACUUGGUUAUUGUUACCUUAUGGUAGUCAAUAAUCGGGUUAACCAGGUAUCUUUUACCUGAAUACAUAGGGUUUAAGAAGCGAACCCGGGGAACUGAAACAUCUAAGUACCCGGAGGAAAGGAAAUCAACAGAUACUCCCCUAGUAGUGGCGAGCGAACGGGGACCAGCCGAGCCGUGAGAAUGACCAGAAUGUGUUGGAAAGCACAGCCAUAGUGGGUGACAGCCCCGUAUGGGAAGUUUGAUCGGACGUAUUAAGUAGGGCGGGACACGUGAAAUCCUGUCUGAAGAUCGGGGGACCACCCUCGAAGGCUAAGUACUCCUUACUGACCGAUAGCGAACCAGUACCGUGAGGGAAAGGUGAAAAGCACCCCGACGAGGGGAGUGAAACAGUUUCUGAAACCGGACGCCUACAAGCAGUCGGAGCCUCCUUGAGAGGUGACGGCGUACCUUUUGUAUAAUGGGUCAACGACUUGGUCUAUCUAGCAAGCUUAAGCCGGUAGGUGUAGGCGCAGCGAAAGCGAGUCUUAAAUGGGCGACUUAGUUAGAUGGAUCAGACCCGAAACCAGAUGAUCUAGGCAUGAGCAGGAUGAAGGUUGGGUAACACCAACUGGAGGUCCGAACCCACACCUGUUGAAAAAGGUCGGGAUGACUUGUGCCUAGGGGUGAAAGGCCAAUCAAAUCUGGAGAUAGCUGGUUCUCCGCGAAAGCUAUUUAGGUAGCGCCUCGGACGUAUCCUCCUGGGGGUAGAGCACUACAUGGAUGAUGGGGGCCCACAGCCUUACUGAGUCUAAGUAAACUCCGAAUACCAGGAAGGACUAUCCGGGAGACACACGGCGGGUGCUAACGUCCGUCGUGGAGAGGGAAACAACCCUGACCAACAGCUAAGGCCCCCAAUUCGUGGCUAAGUGGGAAAGCAUGUGAGACUUCCAAAACAACCAGGAGGUUGGCUUAGAAGCAGCCAUCCUUUAAAGAUAGCGUAACAGCUCACUGGUCUAAUCAAGAGGUCUUGCGGCGAAGAUGUAACGGGGCUCAAGCCACGAGCCGAAGCUUUGGGUGUGCAUUUAUGCACGCGGUAGCGGAGCGUUCUGUGAUAUAGAACGCUGCCUCCUUAGUAUCCACGUCCAUAGUCACCCGUAAGGAUGACGGACAACGAUACAUUGGAGGCAUUGUUCUGACUGUGAAGCCGGGCUGUAAGGCAUCCGGUGGAGUGAUCAGAAGCGAGAAUGUUGACAUGAGUAGCGACAAACAGGGUGAGAGACCCUGUCGCCGAAAGUCCAAGGGUUCCUGCUUAAAGCUAAUCUGAGCAGGGUAAGCCGGCCCCUAAGGCGAGGCCGAAAGGCGUAGUCGAUGGGAACCAGGUUAAUAUUCCUGGGCCAGGAGAUGGUGACGGAUCACAGAGCUAGUGAGGUCUUAUCGGAUUGAUCUUGCUGGUGAGUGGUUCCUGGAAAUAGCCCUCCAUGAGACCGUACCCUAAACCGACACAGGUGGACUGGUAGAGAAUACCAAGGCGCUUGAGAGAACCACAUUUAAGGAACUCGGCAAAAUACCUCCGUAAGUUCGCGAGAAGGAGGCCCCGUUUGUACGCAAGUAUGGGCGGGGGGCACAAACCAGGGGGUGGCGACUGUUUACUAAAAACACAGGGCUCUGCGAAGCCGUAAGGCGACGUAUAGGGUCUGACGCCUGCCCGGUGCCGGAAGGUUAAAAGGAGAUGUGCAAGCAUUGAAUUGAAGCCCCGGUAAACGGCGGCCGUAACUAUAACGGUCCUAAGGUAGCGAAAUUCCUUGUCGGGUAAGUUCCGACCUGCACGAAUGGCGUAACGACUUCCCCGCUGUCUCAAAUGUGGACUCAGCGAAAUUGAAUUGUCUGUGAAGAUGCAGACUUCCCGCGGUUAGACGGAAAGACCCCAUGCACCUUUACUAUAGCUUCGCACUGGCAUCAGGAUUGUGAUGUGCAGGAUAGGUGGUAGGCAUUGAAACCGGGACGCCAGUUCCGGUGGAGCCAUCCUUGAGAUACCACCCUUCGCACUCUUGAUGUCUAACCGCGGCCCGUUAUCCGGGUCCGGGACCCUGCGUGGUGGGUAGUUUGACUGGGGCGGUCGCCUCCCAAAAAGUAACGGAGGCGCGCGAAGGUUGGCUCAGAGCGGUCGGAAAUCGCUCGUUGAGUGCAAUGGCAGAAGCCAGCCUGACUGCGAGACUGACAAGUCGAGCAGAGACGAAAGUCGGCCAUAGUGAUCCGGUGGUCCCGAGUGGAAGGGCCAUCGCUCAACGGAUAAAAGGUACGCUGGGGAUAACAGGCUGAUGAUGCCCAAGAGUCCAUAUCGACGGCAUCGUUUGGCACCUCGAUGUCGGCUCAUCUCAUCCUGGGGCUGGAGCAGGUCCCAAGGGUAUGGCUGUUCGCCAUUUAAAGAGGUACGUGAGCUGGGUUUAGAACGUCGUGAGACAGUUCGGUCCCUAUCUGCCGUGGGUGUAGGAUACUUGAGAGGAGUUGCCCCUAGUACGAGAGGACCGGGGUGAACGUUCCACUGGUGGACCAGUUGUCGUGCCAACGGCAGUGCUGGGUAGCUAUGAACGGACAGGAUAAACGCUGAAGGCAUCUAAGCGUGAAGCCCCCCUCAAAACAAGGUAUCCCUUGAGAGCCGUGGAAGACCACCACGUCGAUAGGCCGGAGAUGUAAGCGCAGCAAUGCGUUCAGUUGACCGGUACUAAUGGCUCGAUUGGCUUGAUUUG
rnacentral:rRNA from 1 species